AUGCUGUCCCCAAGCGAGGCACCCGAUGCAUCGUCUUCAUCCUCAACAGCUGCAGCCCAGCUUCGGCACUGCAAUCUUCCACCUGCAGGUCCAACAUCCGCAUCGAGCAGCAGUGUGUCAGUUCGAUGGGAAAAGUCGGUUUUUAGUCCCUCAUGGAGGCCAUGCAGUUUAUGGCGUAUGUCUGUGUCCAGGCCGGUGCUUUGUGGACAGACCUUCAAAAUUCAGGACAUCUUAAAGGAGAAAGGUAGGGUUCUCUUGAGGAAGUUUGGGUGCCUCGGUGUAGCAGGAAUUGCUGAGUAUAUCUUGAAGGAGAUCUUUCUUUCUGGUAAAGUAUGUUUUAUUUAUGUAGAUGUCCAUCUGUACUAUAAUCUGGUAGUAAUAGUUUCAUUCUCGGAUGCAUGUUCUGCUUUCAUGUAA
rnacentral:rRNA from 1 species